UGGGGGAUAUUGCACAAUGGGCGAAAGCCUGAUGCAGCGACGCCGCGUGGGGGAUGAAGGCUUUCGGGUUGUAAACCUCUUUCGCUAUCGAACAAGGCCCGCUUAGGGUGGGUUGAGGGUAGGUGGAGAAGAAGCGCCGGCUAACUACGUGCCAGCAGCCGCGGUAAUACGUAGGGCGCGAGCGUUGUCCGGAAUUAUUGGGCGUAAAGGGCUUGUAGGCGGCUUGUUGCGCCUGCUGUGAAAACGCGGGGCUUAACUUCGCGCGUGCAGUGGGUACGGGCAGGCUUGAGUGUGGUAGGGGUGACUGGAAUUCCAGGUGUAGCGGUGGAAUGCGCAGAUAUCUGGAGGAACACCGAUGGCGAAGGCAGGUCACUGGGCCAUUACUGACGCUGAGGAGCGAAAGGAUGGGUAGCGAACAGG
rnacentral:rRNA from 1 species